rnacentral:rRNA from 1 species
UACGUAGGGUGCAAGCGUUAAUCGGAAUUACUGGGCGUAAAGCGUGCGCAGGCGGCUUUGCAAGACAGAUGUGAAAUCCCCGGGCUCAACCUGGGAACUGCAUUUGUGACUGCAAGGCUAGAGUACGGCAGAGGGGGAUGGAAUUCCGCGUGUAGCAGUGAAAUGCGUAGAUAUGCGGAGGAACACCGAUGGCGAAGGCAAUCCCCUGGGCCUGUACUGACGCUCAGGCACGAAAGCGUGGGGAGCAAACAGG